UAAUUGAUUUACACAAAUCGAUUACAUACGAAUGUUUGAUAAGUCCGUACAAUGAUAAUAAUACAUUUUACCAGACGAUACGAUCUAAUGAGACUAUAGGCAGGUCGGUAGGUGUUUUGUUUUAUUUAUCGUCGUUUCGAAACGGAAAGAAUAUUUUGUUUACAUUCUGCGCAAGUGAUGUAUUUUAUUUGUUUCGAGAUCGAAAUAAGCAAUAACCAUUACCGAAACGUCUCGUUUAACACCAAUAAUCGAUUACCUCGAUUACUUUCUCUCGCGGCCGUUCCAAUUACUAGGCCGAACUCAUUAAUUUUUAAAAGGAACGAAUGCGUUCAUUCGAGUUAAAUAUAUAACACGACACCUACCUAUAGAUAUAUACGAGCUAUUUGUUGAAUUUUUUUUUUUUCCAAAGUAAAUAACACACGAACAAAUAUAUCAAUUAACAUUGGUGAAAAGUGGAGUCUAACAUAGUACGCGCAUUAUCGGUUCAUACAUAGAUAUACUUUAAUUCCCCGCGGUCCGCAUAAAUACUACAACUUUUCAACAAUCUACUCAGCUAAUAUUACUCUAUCAAGUACGGUAGGAGGUUUUUCUUUUUUUUUAUUAAUGUAUUUACAUGUUAUUUUAUGACUUUUUUUUUCUAUGAAGUUAUAGAUGAUACUUAAAAUAUCAAUGGAACACACUAUGUACUCGUCGUUAUGUGAUAACUAUGUUCAAAUUAUCAAACUACAAUAUAAUUUUUAAAAAAAUCGGGAAAUUAGAAGAUACGCAAAGUUAUUUAAUUUAUAUCUGUACGAUAAAUUAUUGCUGACAAAAUACGAUUCUGAGUGAAGUUAAUUUUUCAAAAUGCCGUACCUACAUUUUAUGAUUUUUGUAAGAUGAAC